GAGGAGAAAGCUAUUAUCCCUGCCUUCCUAGGCGGAGGGCAACCAGGAGAGGCCGGUGAUGCCAGAAUGAGAUGGAAUGUUGGCCAUGUCAGCGGCCCCGGUGGACAGGGAGGGGGAGGAGGUAGACGGGCAGUGGUCUUCCUAAAAUGCUCAAGGGGAAAAUCGUUUCUGGAAAAGGCAGAGGAGCUGCCCGUGGAAAGCUCCGAGCAAGGGCAGGCCAGGUGCCUUUGGGACACGACACUGUGUCACUGUGUCUGGCCCCUGAAAUAGGACAGUGAAGCAUUAGACCUUGGGAUCCCCACCAUGGAGAUGACCUGUGCGGGGCACUGAGCCCUGAUGGGUCUCAAACCACGAAGAGCGACGUGGUCAGUCCGGCAGGUGCUCCCCUUUGACAGAUCGGGAAGGGAGGCCUCCCCGAAGUUCCACAGCUUGUUGGAAGGUGGUGCGUGAAGUAAUCUGUGGGCCUGGAAAGAGAGUCAUGACUUUCUCCCUGCAGAACCAGGACAGAAUCCGCCUCCCCAUCCCUCCUCCUGGCCCCCUUUCGCCCUCCCUCCCUCCCUCCCUCCUUUCCUUCUUCGCUGCCUCUGUCUCUCCAUUCACCAUUUGCAGGGCCCUUAUUCUGGGUCAGAAUGAUGCUAGACUUUGAAGAUAAGGCGUGUCCAGGAAGACACGGGGCUGGGCUCACGGAAACACAGCCGAGGGCAAGAGACACACCUGAAUAAGCCACUAGGGAAGGUGGCUGUGACAGCUGUGUUCUCGUGUCCUUCUGCGGAAGAAGGGGGUCUACCUGGGUCUGGGGAAGCAGGUGAGGCUUGGGGAAGGAGACGGCGUUUGCUCUGAGAGUGAAGGGGAGGCCUCUAGCUUCAGAAGCCCGAGCUCAGAGCCUCGCCACAAAAGUUACUCAGCCGAAGAAUCUACCUUAACCCCGCAAUGAGUCACACGGAACCGGGCGGCUGGUUCAUGGGUUUCCUGGGGAGCUCCGAUGUUUCUUACUCAGAUGUAUGUCCUUCUGAGCACUCAGCCCGUGCGGAGCCCGUGCAGGUCCCUGCCCCAGGCUACCGGGAGCAGGUGGUGUGCCCAGCAGUAUGUCCUGGAUGUGGGGGCCUCUCUGCCAUCACCCUUCAGGAGGCUGGAGGCAAUGCCUUUAAUAAAAGCAUCACAGAGGUUAAUUCCAGUCCUCUGAGCGGCAGCGGGAGGGGUGGCUCGCCGUUCAUGAGGGAGGCAGCCCAGCAUUGUGAAGGGACACAGAUGAAUAAAGCCACUGUUUACAAGAAAUUCUAAUCUUAGGGCAGUUCAAGGUAAAGACAGACACCAGCCAGGAACAGCCAAGAACAACACCACCAGAACACACGGAGCCAGAGGCCUCCUGCCAGACGCCGUUUUUCCUCUAGAUAUUGUCGCCAAAAGACCCACUCAGAAAACCUCUCUGUCCCCUGGGCACCGUCCCCCCCCCCCCCCCAGCAUGUCAGUAAUAAGAAUAGCAAAAAUAAUUAGCUGUGAUAUUGGAUCGCCUACGAAGGUUCUAGACAUUUGUUUAUAUGAUUUCACUUUAAUCCUGGCCCUCCCCGCGCCCUCUGCAAGAUCUAAGCAGGUGUUAUCACAGUAAAGGAAACAGAGAAGUCGAGAAAUUGGUUGAAGUCACACAGUUAAUGAGUAACAGAGUUCACGUAGGUCUAAGAUGCGAACGUCAGUCUAUCCGGUUUUCAGAUUCCUAACUUCGUUUUGCCGAGUGAGGAAACUGCUUCUGCAGACUGAGGUUUUACUUCUUUCGGAAUCUCCUACAUCCCGUCCGAUGUGUCUCAAGUAUUCGGGGCUGUGAGGAUCUUUUAAAAAUGUUAAAAGCAAAGCCUGACUUCCCUCCACAAACUAUACUGCUGCACAUGGAGAGUUUUACGUAAAAUUUAAGGGUAUUUAUAGAUUUUUUUUUUUACAGCUAUCUGCGAACUUCAGGUUAAGACACCCUGAUGACAUUCUUUUUUUUUUUAUGAAUUGAUUUAGGAUUAUGGUUUUUCAAGCCUCAGAUUGUCAUCAUUCACAGCAGAACUCUGUGAGCUGCCCCUGCCCCUCCCCGACCGUCCAUCCACUCCUCCCAUUUGCUCUGUUUGCCUCUGCUCUAGGUGGGGCAGGAGAGAUUCAGAAGAGGGACAGAACCGGCUGUCCUUGAUAGGACUUCGAGGUCACUGGAGCUCCGAGUCUCAUUGACAGUUGGGGCAUUUCACUUCUUACAUCACCUGUGGCUUAUCCAAGUGUCCAGAGGUCGGAGUGAGCUCUGUAACUCACACGGCCCCUUUGAACUGAGGGGCAGAGACAAAAUGACAAUGAACUUGUGACUUGUCAAAGUUCCCCAACACACCUUGGUCUUGGUGGCCCCAGGCCUUCAGGCUUAUUAUCUUUCCCUCUGCUGGGUCAUUUGCUCCUCUUCAAGACAAGCUUGGCCUCAUCUCCUUUUGGAUGCCCUCCCUGGACGUUGCCCACUACGUCCAGAUGAUAAGCCCUGGAAAUAAAUGUUUGUCAAACGGCACAAUGAA